UUGCUUCAGCAGCAUACAUAUUAAAAUUGGAAUGAUACAAAGAAGAUUAUCAUGGCCCCUGUGCAAGGAUAACAUGCAAAUUCUCGAACUCUUCCAUACUUUU